CACGUAGGGUGCGAGCGUUGUCCGGAAUUAUUGGGCGUAAAGAGCUCGUAGGCGGUGUGUCGCGUCGGCCGUGAAAACCUGCAGCUUAACUGUGGGCUUGCGGUCGAUACGGGCAUCACUGGAGUUCGGCAGGGGAGACUGGAAUUCCUGGUGUAGCGGUGAAAUGCGCAGAUAUCGGGAGGAACACCAGUGGCGAAGGCGGUUGCCUGGGGCGUUGCUGACGCUGAUGCGCGAAAGCGUGGGGAGCGAUCCGG
rnacentral:rRNA from 1 species